GUACAUAAUCGAUUAUCUUAGUCCAGAUUUUUAAGGCAUGUCUAAAAAUUAUUUUGACUACUGUAAAUAUGCAUGAUUUAAAAUCAUUUGACAAUAAAUUAAAUAUGCAUGAUUUUGGAAAACGGUUUUAUGACAUAAGCCAUGUUACGAGUCAAGUUGUAGGAUCAAGAUCACAAUUAAGAAUGACUCAAUUAAACUAUAAAACUU
rnacentral:lncRNA from 1 species